rnacentral:rRNA from 1 species
GUGUCAGCAGCCGCGGUAAUACAGAGGGUGCUAGCGUUAAUCGGAUUUACUGGGCGUAAAGCGUGCGUAGGUGGUUUGAUAAGUCGAUUGUGAAAGCCCCGGGCUUAACCUGGGAAUUGCGGUCGAUACUGUCAGACUCGAAAACGGUAGAGGGAGGUGGAACUCCAGGUGUAGCGGUGAAAUGCGUAGAUAUCUGGAAGAACACCGAUGGCGAAGGCAGCCUCCUGGGCCUGUUUUGACACUGAGGCACGAAAGCGUGGGUAGCAAACAGGAUUAGAUACCCUGGUAGUCCACGCCGUAAACGAUGAGAACUUGACGUUGGUUUGCUUAGCAAAUCGGUGUCGUAGCUAACGCGAUAAGUUCUCCGCCUGGGGAGUACGGCCGCAAGGUUGAA